UUUUCUGUAUCAGAGAACAGCAUUUUUAUGAAAGGAGAAAAGGGUGAACCUGGAAAGAAUGGUGCUCCUGGUUUGAAAGGAGAAACAGGCCAUCCAGGUCCAAGGGGACCUGAUGGUAAACCUG